rnacentral:rRNA from 1 species
GGCUUCGCGGCCGGCUGAAAUAUUUUUUUCACCCAUGUCUUUUGCGCACUUGUUGUUUCCUGGGCGGGUUCGCCCGCCACCAGGACCAAACCAUAAACCUUUUUUUUAUGCAGUUGCAAUCAGCGUCAGUAAAAACAAUGUAAUUAUUACAACUUUCAACAACGGAUCUCUUGGUUCUGGCAUCGAUGAAGAACGCAGCGAAAUGCGAUACGUAGUGUGAAUUGCAGAAUUCAGUGAAUCAUCGAAUCUUUGAACGCACAUUGCGCCCUUUGGUAUUCCAAAGGGCAUGCCUGUUCGAGCGUCAUUUGUACCUUCAAGCUUUGCUUGGUGUUGGGCGUUUUUUGUCUCCCUCUUUCUGGGAGACUCGCCUUAAAACGAUUGGCAGCCGGCCUACUGGUUUCGGAGCGCAGCACAUAUUUUGCGCUUUGUAUCAGGAGAAAAGGACGGUAAUCCAUCAAGACUCUACAUUUUUAACUUUUGACCUCGGAUCAGGUAGGGAUACCCGCUGAACUUAAGCAUAUCAAUAAGCGGAGGAA